rnacentral:misc_RNA from 1 species
GAUGAAGAACGCAGCGAAAUGCGAUAAGUAAUGUGAAUUGCAGAAUUCCGUGAAUCAUCGAAUCUUUGAACGCACAUUGCGCCCCCUGGUAUUCCGGGGGGCAUGCCUGUCCGAGCGUCAUUACAACCCUCAAGCUCAGCUUGGUGUUGGGCCCCGCCGCCCCGGCGGGCCCUAAAGUCAGUGGCGGUGCCGUCCGGCUCCGAGCGUAGUAAUUCUUCUCGCUCUGGAGGUCCGGUCGUGUGCUCGCCAGCAAACCCCAAUUUUUUUCAGGUUGACCUCGGAUCAGGUAGGGAUACCCGCUGAACUUAAGCAUAUCAAUAAGCGGAGGA